CAUGUACGUGUUUAUGUUGCGCUACAACUAUCCCUCGUAAGGUUUCAAAUUCCCCCUCUGCGCAUGCGCACGGGAGCCCCCUUUUUACCCAUAAGCCCCGUGUCUCUCCAUUCCUCUCCCAAAGCUAGAAGGACAACAACACUCGCUACAAAAUUGCCAUAAUACCUUUAUUGUGAUCAACUGCCGCUUGCACAGACCACCUCCUGCAUGUCAGCAAGGUACCUAAAACACCGACAAUGGCACCGAAACGGACGUCAAGGAGAACCAGGGCAGCUGUUCCUGUCGAAAAUGUUUCAUCCGCAACAAGUGGAACUUCCGACAACAGUCGCCAUGUUGGGUCACAGGUCAGAGCGAGUGCGACAGGCAGAGCCGUCCCUUACGAGACAACAGUUGACCUGAGACAGAGGCUGCGCUCCUUAGGUAUCACAGUGCCUGCAUCGUGGGGAAGAAAGACGAUCCUACAACUGUACAAGGAAAACUUUAACGAGAACCACACGGUCAGUGGAGGGGCCAGCGCUGUUCAACAUUCCUCCCCCGUUUCCGCAUUGUCGUCUGUACAUGCUGUUCCUUCCUGUGACGUUACUCCCCAGUAUGUAAACAGCGGUAAUUCUGACAGCUCUACUAGCAUUCCGGCAACAGUGACAACAGCAAGCAACCAGUUAUCGUCAGCAAAUGUGGAAUUGGUGGGAGUCAUGCGGGAAAUGAGGGACAUGAUGACAUCCCUCACCCAACGUCUAUCCUCUGGAGCUCCCAGUGGAGAAAACAUAGCCUGGCCUACAUCACAGACAAAUCCAACGCAAUGUGUUCUGUCAGAUUCCGUGCCCCAUGUCAACUUUGUUGACGAAAGUACAAGGCGUAAAAUUCACCAAGAUUGCCAGAUUUCGGAAACUUGCUCCACAUGCGGCACCACAAGCAACACCAUGUCCACAACACUCACAGUUGAUAUGGGUCUGGCAAGACACCUAGACACUCUAUGGGAUGCUGCAGUGGCGGCCAGAACCAAGACCACCUAUGCUUCUGGCUUUCAGUCAUACGUUGCCUUUCUCCUGAGAUAUAGCCUGUACUCUACAUGCUCAAGCCUCACACGGGCAGCACAAGGUCUGCCACCAGUUAAUUGGCACUUCUGCAACAAUAUGUGGCCUUUUGUUUCGGUGAGGCAAAACUACAGUAUGUCACUGUCAAAUCCUAUCUCGCGGGUAUUCGGUUUACCUAUCUGAAGGCAGGUGUACAUACAGUGUUCGAUUCAGUGUCUACUGGUGGUCUAAAUCAGCUACGAACCCUACUUCAUGGAUACAAGAAGCUACAACAACAGGGUGUGCCCAAACGCUUACCCAUAACCUACGAUGUUUUGAAGAAGAUUGUGUGUACACUACGCAAAGGGGUGCUCGGACCUCUCAAUGAUCUGGUAAUGGAGGUCAUGUGCACCACUGCCUUCUUUGGUUUUCUACGAUGUGCCGAGUUCACAUGUUCUCGUGACUUCGAUGCUAGUACCAAUUUAAGUCUAUCUGAUGUCACCAUCGACCAUAAUACAGGAAAGUGUACUCUCGUGCUCAAAGCUUCAAAGACAGAUAUUUUUAGACAGGGCGUAGUCAUUACCUUGUUUGCCAACCAAUCUCCCAUUUGCCCUUUUGCCAAUUUGAACCGCUUAAAGCAAGUAAGACUAUAACAUGGUGCUAGGGACAGUGAUCCUCUGUUUGUUGACUGUGUUGGAAAAGCCAUAUCCCGUACCAUGUUCCUGCAAUGGCUCAACAUGACCAUGAAACAUGCACACCUUGACGCAGCUAAAUACUCUGGACACUCUUUUCGCAUAGGGGCAGCGACCUCCGCUGCAACUGUUCGUAUGGAAGAUCACCUCAUAAAAACACUGGGCAGGUGGCAGUCAGACUGUUUUACACGUUAUAUUCGGACCCCAGAGGACGUUAUUAAGAAUGCUCAGUUGUCUUUAAUUUCUUGUCCAUAAUACCCAGUACAGGGACAUCUCUGAUCAGCUGCGUUGAAUUGGUUGUGUUGGUCAUUCCUUUUGUACGAUGUUGAUGUAUCUUGUGAUCCCUCUCUAUAUUGUUGCACACAAUGUACCUUCCUUACCACACCUAGCACAACUUGGGGGCACUCACUCUUGUAAGGGGGUACCCUUCCAAUCACUUGCUUUGGGCUAUUUCCACUCAUCUAGAGUGUCCUUUUCUCCCCCAAGUCCAAACCAGAGCUCAGGUCGCAGCCCCGGUCCGCAGACCACCGUCCGAGCCGCCACAGCGGCCCCAGGACCCUCGCCUAGCUCUCGGUCGUCCCUCUCCUUGUAAAUAAGCUAGCACCAAAGGUCCGCAGACCACCGUCCGAGCCGCCACAGCGGCCCCAGGACCCUCGCCUAGCUCUCGGUCGUCGCUC